GACAGAGGCCUCGAGCGUUAGGCGGAAUCACUGGGCUUAAAGCGUGUGUAGGCGGGCCCGUAAGUGUCUUGUGAAAUCCCACGGCUCAACCGUGGAACUGCCGGGCAUACUGGCGAUCUCGAGGCAUUCAGGGGCGAGCGGGAACAAAUGGUGGAGCGGUGAAAUGCGUAGAUAUCAUUUGGAACGCCAAUGGUGAAAACAGCUCGCUGGGAAUGAUCUGACACUGAGACGCGAAAGCCAGGGGAGCGAACGGG
rnacentral:rRNA from 1 species